GGUCUGCCCCUGUCACUGCUCAGGGACCAUCUCAGGGCCUGGAGAGACGUCCCUGGUGGGGACAAGGGGAAGCAAACAGAGAGUUUGCCACCUGUCGGGCGAGGCACGGAAGGGAGGUUCCCUGGCCUGGCCAUGCCCGCUGGCUCCACCACUAAGGCAGACAAGCAGCCCUGGCACGAGGGGGGUGAGGAGAUGAAGGACAGCUCUGGGGUCAGGAAGCUGCCAGCGAUCCCAGGGGCUGCUGCUGCUGGAAAAAAGCAGCCUGGGACUGACCAAGCCAAGGGCAAACCCACCCCCAAGGGCCAAGGGUCAAAGCAGAGCCACGGAGAGGAAACAACCACUCAGAGGGGCAGGGCAGGAGGAGAUGGAGAAGCAAAAGAUCCUCUUGGAAGAGAAGGAGAAAAGAAAGUUCAUCUUGGAAGAGAAGGAGCAUCAAAAGGUUCCCUUGGAAAAGAAGGAGAAAAGAAAGUUCAUCUUGGAAGAGAAGGAGUAUCAAAAGAUUCUCUUGGAAAAGAAGGAGGAAAGAAAGUUCAUCUCGGAAGAGAA